rnacentral:lncRNA from 1 species
GGCUGGCCACGCGGGCAGCUGCAACCUGGGCAUGUACGUCUGUGUGGCAGGGGGGCUUCUGGACUGGGGGCUCGGCACCGACCCAGGAAGGGGAGCUGUGAGCAGGGACAUCUGGCCCUAGUCUCAGAGCAACAUCCCUCGAAAUGCCAUCUGGCCCUGGAAGGUGCAAGGGAGGCAGGAUGAGUCUGCUCAUGCUACCGCGGGCCGCCCAGCAAGGAAGCAGGCUGCCCGCCAGGCUGGCACGCGCCUCUUGCAGUGGAGGGUUUGCUCUUCAGGAACGGACAGAGAACCUCCAGACUCCCUCGGCUGCACGCUGGGGGCGAGCCCAGGCAGCCACAGGAGUCCUCCAAGCCAGAUGAGCCCGCCCUGCGGCACUGCCAGCACUUGGGACGCCAGACUCCCUUCAGGCGGCGGGCCCCAAGGGCACUGCGACAGCUCAGCACCCACCACAGAUCAGCAACAGGACAACCCGAGCGCGGAGACACAGACGGGAAGCGUGUGGGGUCCUGGGAUAGGCCCAACUCAAUGAUUUCCCCUCCCUGGGGCUAAGGAGCUUUCUGGGGGACCCUCAUCUGUGACCUGCCUCCAGGGAUACUUUCUCGCUCUACAGACACCACUGAUGUGAAGACGCAGGAGACAGGACAACCCCCCGUGAAGGGUCCUGUCCACCCACCACUGAGGCCUGGCCCGAC